AGAGUUUGAUCCUGGCUCAGAUUGAACGCUGGCGGAAUGCUUUACACAUGCAAGUCGAACGGUAGAGGGGGCAACCCCUUGAGAGUGGCGAACGGGUGAGUAAUGUAUCGGAACGUGCCCAGUCGUGGGGGAUAACGUAGUGAAAAUUACGCUAAUACCGCAUACGAUCUGUGGAUGAAAGCGGGGGAUCGCAAGACCUCGCGCGAUUGGAGCGGCCGAUAUCAGAUUAGGUAGUUGGUAGGGUAAAGGCCUACCAAGCCAACGAUCUGUAGCUGGUCUGAGAGGACGACCAGCCACACUGGAACUGAGACACGGUCCAGACUCCUACGGGAGGCAGCAGUGGGGAAUUUUGGACAAUGGGCGAAAGCCUGAUCCAGCCAUUCCGCGUGCAGGAUGAAGGCCCUCGGGUUGUAAACUGCUUUUGUACAGAACGAAAAGGUUUCUAUUAAUACUAGGAGCUCAUGACGGUACUGUAAGAAUAAGCACCGGCUAACUACGUGCCAGCAGCCGCGGUAAUACGUAGGGUGCAAGCGUUAAUCGGAAUUACUGGGCGUAAAGCGUGCGCAGGCGGUUAUAUAAGUCAGAUGUGAAAUCCCCGGGCUCAACCUGGGAACUGCAUUUGAGGCUGUAUAGCUAGAGUACGGUAGAGGGGGAUGGAAUUCCGCGUGUAGCAGUGAAAUGCGUAGAUAUGCGGAGGAACACCGAUGGCGAAGGCAAUCCCCUGGACCUGUACUGACGCUCAUGCACGAAAGCGUGGGGAGCAAACAGGAUUAGAUACCCUGGUAGUCCACGCCCUAAAC
rnacentral:rRNA from 1 species